UUUUCUAGUUCUGAAGUCUGUGAAUACAAUAUGUGGCUAUUUGGGGAAUUCGCCAGAUCAUCCCAGGAAGGAUUGGCUUUUGGAAGUAUCAGGCAGAAGUUCUCACACUGAAUUGGCAUGCUUCCUAUCUGCUGCUGGCCCUCGUUUACCAAGCUGUUUCGUGUGGAUGAAGGAUUCCUUUCUGCCUGAAUUUCUCCCCUAUAUCCAGGCUGAAUACACACACCUGCUCCUCCUUGAUCCCACCCUCUGCCAACAUUAUUUUUUUUUAGGUCAUAUAAGUGAAUAUUCUCUAUGUGCCCAGGUAAGUAUUGC
rnacentral:lncRNA from 1 species